UACGUAGGGGGCAAGCGUUGUCCGGAAUCAUUGGGCGUAAAGAGCGUGUAGGCGGCCCGAUAAGUCCGCUGUGAAAGUCCAGGGCUUAACCCUGGACCUGCAUUCCGAUACGGGCAGACUAGAGUUCGGUAGGGGAGACUGGAAUUCCUGGUGUAGCGGUGAAAUGCGCAGAUAUCAGGAGGAACACCGGUGGCGAAGGCGGGUCUCUGGGCCGAUACUGACGCUGAGGAGCGAAAGCGUGGGGAGCGAACAGG
rnacentral:rRNA from 1 species